rnacentral:lncRNA from 10 species
AUGCCUGUUUCAACUGUUCCAGUAGCUUCAGGAAAUAGCAAGGUGGAGCAGCCCGCAAGAAAGCCAGCAUCAUCCUCAAAGGAUGCUCAUAGCUACGGAAGAACCAACUUGGCUAAAAACACUUUUCAAAGAUACCCAGAGCUUAAAAUGCAGACACCAAGAGCUUUGAGCCUAGACAUUUGGAUGAAAAGUGAUUUCCACCUGGAGAAAGUCAUUGCCCUUCUGUGCAGAGGGAACAUGAAGGAGAACCCAUCUCUGCUGCUUUUGAAGUGCAGUGGCUUUCACUUGGAAUGGAAAUCUUUACAGGUGGCACCGGGGGCUGUGCAGAGACGACCAGGGAGAAAUUCCGGACUUCUCAUGUUCUGCCUCUGAGACAGACUGUGGUGGGAAACACAAACAAUACAAAUCCUUGGUUCCAUUUUCCUCAUCCCUUCCUGGCAAAUGAAAUCAAAUGAGGGUGAGGGUGACUGGGGAAUAAAGCAGGGGGAGUGAAGAGAUGGGGGCCUGCUCUUAGAAGCAGGGUCUGAACUCCACCUGCUCCGGGAUGAACUGGAAAGUGCUUCUUCUCCUCCCUUCCUUGUCUGAUGGCUAUGGGAACUUUAGAUGGGGAAAUACUGAUACACUGAUCUCUCAACCAAAUAUAAUUUGUAUUAAAAAAUUAAGAGUUCACAAGUUAUUCUCUGUCUCUCUCUUUUUUUUUUUUUAAAGAAACAGCCUUGCCCUGCCGCCCGGGCUGGAGUGCAAUGGUGUUAUCAUAGCUCACUGCAGCCUCAAAAUCCUGGGCUUAAGUGAUCCUCCCACCUCAGCCUCCCAAGUAGCUAGUACUACAGGCGCACACCACCAUACCUGACCAAUUUUUCUAUUUUCUGAAGAGAUGAGGUUUUGCUGUGUUGACUAGGCUGAUGUCAAAUUCUUGGCCUAACACGAUUUUCUCCCUGGGCCUCCCAAAGUGCUGGGAUUAAAAGGAGUGUGAACCAAUGCACCCAGCCAACUUAUCCUUUUUUAUCUUCAUCACAAUCUUAUGAGGUGGGUAUGGUUAUUAGUAUUGUCAUUUAAUAGAGGUAGAGAACAAGGAUUGGGAGUGUUUAACAGCCGGCCCAGGAUGAAUGCAUCAAGUUUCAAAUCCAUGUCUCCUGAUUCCAAGUCCGUAUUUCUCACAGUCCACAUUAUAUACUCAGCAGAUGGUGUUGACAGGUUCUCCGAAUCCAGGAGGCAGCUCUGAGCCUCAGGAAGUAAGCUGCUAGAAUCCCAGUUAGGGUCCUAUUAUUCUAAGAGAUACAGACCUAACAGAGAAGUGUGCUGUGCCUGUGGCUUUGUGGCAGGGUUUGUCUACAAUAAGCACAUGUGGUGUUCACAGGGCUUAACUCACGGCUGUAACAGGAGCUUCAGAACGGACAGGGCAAACAGUCCUCUUCAGUAAGUACUGCUGGCCAUGUCUUACCCUCUCAGAUAAAUUGCAAAAGCUUUUUAAACUCUCUCCCUCCCACCCCUUAUUAUAGAACCAUUUCUCAAAGCUUAAUUCAAUACUUUAUUUCUGCUUUCCAACAGUUAUACACCUGAUCUCUAAGAAUAACCAUUUUUAAUGCCUUUGAUUUUUCCCACUGAGCUCUUUGCCCCACGAUUGUCCAGUAGCUGGGAAUGGAGACUGACUCUGCACUUUCCAUUACCUGGUAAACAGCGAUCCUUCCUCCUCCCCGACCCCACACUCCCGGAACCCUGACUUGGUUCUCUAUCCUUGUCCUUCAGGAGAGAAUGAACCUCUCUCCAGCCCCCGGGGGCUAGGGUUUUGUCCGAGACUUCGACUCUCAGCCAUUGGUUUGGUAUUCUGACUGCGCACUGGAACCAUCUAGGGGGCUUUAAAAAUCCCACUAAGGCCAACAGGGGCUCCAGGGCUCCCUCAGGAGCUGUGGCUUGGCUCUCAUUUUUCCCUUGCCAAGUGAUUGGCGUUAGGGAUGGUCAUGUGACGCUAAACUGGCCAAUAGCGUAUGAGGACGCGAGGCUGUGAAGCGUCUGGGAAUAUUUUCCACAGCUAAAAGCAAAAAGCUGAAAUUCAGGCCUGUUUUCUUUUUCUCCCUGGAAGUUGUUCUCUAUGUGCCCCAAGGGAAGGAGCUUAAUUUAGUUAGCAAUCUACGGACAUCACCUCAUUUGAUCCUCACACUACCCUUCGAGGUAGUUAAUAUUUUGGUUUUAGUUAUUAAUUUACCAACAAGGAAACUAAAAUUUCUUACUUUUACAGACAAGGAAACUAAGGUUCACAGAAGUUUCAGUAUCUCCAAAAUAUAUCCCUUUCAAUGAUAACAGCUGAGCAGAGUCAGGGUGAACUUGGUCCUGCCUGGUUCCAAAGACCAUGAUUUUCUCACUAUCUCCCUAUUUGCAAGGUUGUGCUGGUAAGCUGUCUAAAUAAUAAAACUAAUAAAAGGCGUGGCCAGCUGCACCUGUAAUCCCAGCACUUUGGGAGGCCCAGGUAAGAAGGAUCGCUUGAGGCUAAGAGUUCAAGACCAGCCUAAGUUGAUAGCAGUAACUCAUCUCUACAAAAGUUGAAAAAAAAAAUUAGCUGGGCAUAGUGCAGGAGCCUGUAGUCCCAGCUACUCAGGAGGCUGAGGUGUGAGGAUCACUUGAGUCCAGGAAAUCCGGGACUUUGAGGCUACAUUGAGCUAAGCUCAUACCACUGCACUCCAGCCUAGGCAACACAGUGAGACCCAGUCUC